AUUAAACGCUGGCGGCAUGCCUUACACAUGCAAGUCGAACGGCAGCACGGGGGCAACCCUGGUGGCGAGUGGCGAACGGGUGAGUAAAGCAUCGGAACGUGCCCUGGAGUGGGGGAUAACGUAGCGAAAGUUACGCUAAUACCGCAUAUUCUGUGAGCAGGAAAGCAGGGGAUCGCAAGACCUUGCGCUCUGGGAGCGGCCGAUGUCGGAUUAGCUAGUUGGUGGGGUAAAGGCCUACCAAGGCGACGAUCCGUAGCGGGUCUGAGAGGAUGAUCCGCCACACUGGGACUGAGACACGGCCCAGACUCCUACGGGAGGCAGCAGUGGGGAAUUUUGGACAAUGGGCGAAAGCCUGAUCCAGCCAUGCCGCGUGAGUGAAGAAGGCCUCGGUUGUAAGACGUCUUUCGGUCCGGGGAACGGAAAGUACG
rnacentral:rRNA from 1 species